GCUGCUACCAGUCAGGAGAACACCACAUAGUUGGAGCUGCUGCUCACAACAGCUUGGAGUGCCCAAGAGCAAAGUACGACCCUACAGAGCUGGGCUUAUGAAGGUGGCGGUGGGCAUAAUUACCCUGACUUUCUUAAGGAGAAAACUUCAAGACCUGUGAAUUUGUCCUCAAGACAGAAGAAUAGCAGAGGUUUCAGCUUGAAGGAUAAAGUCAUGAGUGAGGUCUGGCCAACAAAGCAAGCAGGCUGUAUGGACUGAUGUUUCUCCGCUGUGAAAAUUGAUGAAGAGCUGGAGCUAUUUAUUCACAUAUUCUUAGUUGGCAGAAGAGUUGUGUUUUUGUUUUGUUUUGUUUUGUUUUGUUUUGCUAAAAUUGAAAGGUUGUUUGGCUUCUGUGGAAAAACAGCUAAUGGAGAAUUUGGGCCAGUAGUGAAAGAGAGACCGACUAUAAGGCAAAGAAAAAUGCUAUCCUGCACCAGAUACUAAAGACUCAUCAGCAGGUUCUAAGAAUUGCAGAGAGAAUUUAGAGACUUUGUUUCAGUAAAUAACUAAUGACAUUUUUUUUGGUAAUUUAUCUCCAAUUUUAUCCUUUUAAAGUAUGUAGAUUAUGCAUUGUCUCAAAAGUUAUCACUUGCAUCAGAUGUGAGCAUUAGUUAGUCUUUGCCAAACCAAAAGUUUCCUAUUGUAAUCUGUAAGAGUAGUAAUCAAUGGAAUAAAAA